CUUCAAUCCCAAACAAUGUUGUCUAAUUGAGGAACAGAUAAGGUGACAAAUCAGAGAAAGCAUUGACAAAAUAAGAUAUACUCAACUUUCACAAGAACAGCACAGGAGAGGCUACUUAAAAGAGCACAGGGUGUCAGUUUGUCAGUUAAGUUAGUCGUUGGAAUUCAGUUGGAAGGUUGAUGUCAUUAUGCAGAUGAAGGCAGGUGCAGGGUGGAACUAGGCCUGUCAUUGGAUGAGAAAAUUUUUAGAGAGGCUGAGGCGGCUAGAGCAAGGAAGGAGCCGAAAGAACAUGGAGGCAGAUGUUAAGAUUCCCCUCUGCACAUAUUACAGGCCACCUGACUAUGAAGAGAAAGAAGGGCAAAGCAAGACAAACAGAUUUAAAGGAAUUUACUUUGCAAUGACUGCUCUCAGUAAGGACUACCACUGUCUCUGGAAAAUGGUUAGAUGGAAAACGUGUGACCUUAAGUAAGUUCUGAGGGUCUGAGAAAGUGUCUGAAGAUAUGAAAGUUGGUGUUUUAAGGUUCUGGGGACCAGUUGGUGCCAGAGCCUGCCAGCCAAUCAACAGGAAAAACUACAACUGGGGGAGUGAGGAUUUGAAAGAAGAGUCAGAGAGAUUAGGAGUCAGGAGGGCUAACAGUAAGUACUGUGUGGUGAGUUUAUUCUCUCAGUGUCUUUUUAAAGGCAAAGAAGACAACGCACGACCAAUUCCAGGAAGUUAAACAAUGGCCACAUGCUUGCCUGGCAAGUUUAUGGUACACAGUAUCUCUGUUUGAUCAAGGCCAUUUCCUUCAGGCUUGGACAGUCCUUCAAGGACAUAUGCGUAAGUGGAGGAACUUGGCAGGAUAUAAUACAUGCCUGAACUAAAAACAAAGAUGUCAGCGGACUCAUUCAUGAUUAAUCACAAGCAAGAAGUCAGCCAAAGUUGACUCCAGAUGUGCUCCCCACAUAUUGGAAAUUACACUGUAUAUGUAGACCCCAGGGUUCUGGGUAGGUAGAGAGGAUGAAUAGGACCCUGAAGGAGGCCUUGACCAAAUUAACCCUUGAAACUGGCAGUGAUUAGGUGUCUCUCCUACCUUAUGCCUUGUAUAAGGCCAGGAAUACUCCUUAUACCUUCGGUCUUACCCCCUUUGAAAUCCUAGAUGGGAAACCCCCUCCCAUACUGCCAAACUCCAGUCUGACAUUCUAGUUGAAUAUGACCAACAUAAGUUCUUAAAAUGCUUGGAGGUUCUCCAUAGAGUCCAGAAGGAACUCUGGCCUGCUGUACAUGAGGUUCGAGUCUACUCCUCCCCGUAACCUCCAUUGCUUUGAACCAGGUGACAAAGUCUGGGUUAAGAGACCCAAUAAAGUCCUAGCAAGGCCAGAUCCCCAGCCUUUGCCCACAUCUAUUCCCAUUCCCACCUCAACACCAAGAGGCAACUUCACCAGCCUCCUGCUCCAACAAAACCCCACUUCACCACCUGCAUCAGAACCCCUGCAACUGUUGAAAGCUUCAUUGCAUGUACUUAACUCCACUCAGCCAGAUUUGACACAGGACUGUUGGUUAUGCUUAAAUAGUCAACUCCCCUUUUAUGAAGGACAGACCGAGCACAUUGGUUCUGGUGUGGGGCGCAUGGGUGGCGGCAUGGGUUUUGGCAUGGAGCAGAUAGCCACACCCAUUGACCAUGUGGGCCAAACCAUUGAGCACACGGGCUCUGGUGUAAAGCCCAUGGGUCAAAUGGUGCUCACAGGCAUGGGGGCCAUCCUGGAGCUCAUGGGCAUUCAGCGCAUGGGAGCCAACAGUCUUGAGUUCAUGGGAGCCAACGGUCUUGAGCACACAGGCCUGGAAUGAAUGGGAGACAACAGCCUGGAACACACGAGCCCUGCCAUGGGCCCAGCAUUGGGCACUGGUUCUGAGCGAAUGGACCUGGCCAUGGGUGAUGCCGGAGGUGUUAGUUUUGACUGACAUAUUGAGAUGGGCAGGCAACUUUGGAGGAAGCUUCGCAGGUUCCUUUGGCAGAGCUGGAGGUCACAUACCUGGAGUAGCCAAGAAGGCCUGCCAGAUAUUUGUGAGAAAUCUCCCAUUUGACUUUACAUGAAAGAUACUAAAGGACAAAUUCAAUGAAUGUAGCCAUGUGCUGUACACCGACAUCAAGAUGGAGAACGGAAAGUCCAAGAGGUGCGGUGUGGUUAAGUUUGAGUGUCCAGAGGUGGCUGAGAGAGCCUGCCAGAUGAAUGGCAUGAAGCCAUGUGGUCUAGAGAAUGAUGUUCGAAUUACUAGAAAGGCUUAAGUAUGCCUUUUUUAAACAUUAAUACCAGACCUCUGAAUUUGUAUUUUUUUCUUGUUAACCAGUUUAAUUUGUUGGCUAGAUGUACAAAGAUGUUUUAAAAAAUUAUGAGAUACCAUUUGUCGAUUCUUGAUCUUAGAGCAUAAGCCAUUGGUGUUUUGUGCCCCUGCCUGCAGGGGCUCCGUAAUUUACAGGAACUGAGGGAGAUCCAAACCUGUGAAGGAAUGAGCGAGAAAG
rnacentral:sRNA from 1 species